rnacentral:rRNA from 1 species
AUAAUACCCUAUAGGCUACCAAUGCUGGAAUGCCUGGUAGCCGAAAGUUCCGGCGCCUUAGGAUGGAUCUGCGGCCGAUUAGGUUGUUGUCGGGGUAACGGCCCAACAAGCCAGUAAUCGGUACGGGUUGUGGGAGCAAGAGCCCGGAGUUGGAUUCUGAGACACGAAUCCAGGCCCUACGGGGCGCAGCAGGCGCGAAAACUUUACAAUGCGGGCAACCGUGAUAAGGGAACCUCGAGUGCCUGUAUAUGCAGGCUGUCUGAGUGUCUAAAACACACUCAAAGAAAGGGCCGGGCAAGACCGGUGCCAGCCGCCGCGGUAAUACCGGCGGCUCGAGUGGUGGCCACUUUUAUUGGGCUUAAAGCGUUCGUAGCUGGGUUAUUAAGUCCCUUGGGAAAUCCGGCGGCUUAACCGUCGGGCGUCUAAGGGAUACUGGUAAUCUUGGAACCGGGAGAGGUGAGGGGUACUUCGGGGGUAGGAGUGAAAUCCUGUAAUCCUCGAGGGACCACCUGUGGCGAAGGCGCCUCACCAGAACGGCUUCGACAGUGAGGGACGAAAGCUGGGGGAGCAAACCGGAUUAAAUACCCGGGUAGUCCCAGCCGUAAACGAUGUGCGUUAGGUGU